AUUGAACGCUGGCGGCAGGCCUAACACAUGCAAGUCGAACGGUAACAGGGAUCAGCUUGCUGAUUCGCUGACGAGUGGCGGACGGGUGAGUAAUGUCUGGGAAACUGCCUGAUGGAGGGGGAUAACUACUGGAAACGGUAGCUAAUACCGCAUAACGUCGCAAGACCAAAGAGGGGGACCUUCGGGCCUCUUGCCAUCGGAUGUGCCCAGAUGGGAUUAGCUAGUAGGUGGGGUAACGGCUCACCUAGGCGACGAUCCCUAGCUGGUCUGAGAGGGUGACCAGCCACACUGGAACUGAGACACGGUCCAGACUCCUACGGGAGGCAGCAGUGGGGAAUAUUGCACAAUGGGCGCAAGCCUGAUGCAGCCAUGCCGCGUGUAUGAAGAAGGCCUUCGGGUUGUAAAGUACUUUCAGCGGGGAGGAAGGGAGUAAAGUUAAUACCUUUGCUCAUUGACGUUACCCGCAGAAGAAGCACCGGCUAACUCCGUG
rnacentral:rRNA from 1 species